CUCAAUUGCUCCUGAAACAAAUCAAGAUCAAACAACUUAACUUCAUUUUUUCCGAUUAAAUUCCUCAUGCAACAAGAAGAGUUAGCAAUUUUUCACUCCAUUAACACAUUACUCACAUCAUGAUACCAGAAUUCUAUGCGAAACCCAGUGAUGAUUCUUCUGGAGUCUAAAUUCACACCGGAAACGAAAUAGAAUCAGUACCUGAGUGAUGUAUUCUUUUCCGG